rnacentral:rRNA from 1 species
UCGAGGGGUAACAGAAAAGCUUGCUUUUGCUGACGACCGGCGCACGGGUGCGUAACGCGUAUGCAACCUACCUCAUACUGGAGGAUAGCCCCUGGAAACGGGGAUUAAUACCCCAUAGUAUCACAAUUUCGCAUGUUAUUGUGAUUAAAGUUUUUCGGUAUGAGAUGGGCAUGCGUCCCAUUAGCUUGUUGGUGAGGUAACGGCUCACCAAGGCAACGAUGGGUAGGGGGCCUGAGAGGGUGGUCCCCCACACUGGUACUGAGACACGGACCAGACUCCUACGGGAGGCAGCAGUGAGGAAUAUUGGUCAAUGGAGGAAACUCUGAACCAGCCAUGCCGCGUGAAGGAUGACGGCCCUAUGGGUUGUAAACUUCUUUUAUAGAGGAAGAAACUUGUCUACGUGUAGACAACUGACGGUACUCUACGAAUAAGGAUCGGCUAACUCCGUGCCAGCAGCCGCGGUAAUACGGAGGAUCCAAGCGUUAUCCGGAUUCAUUGGGUUUAAAGGGUCCGUAGGCGGAUUUUUAAGUCAGUGGUGAAAGCCGACAGCUCAACUGUCGAACUGCCAUUGAUACUGGAAAUCUUGAGUACAAAUGAAGUAGGCGGAAUGAGUCAUGUAGCGGUGAAAUGCAUAGAUAUGACUCAGAACACCGAUUGCGAAGGCAGCUUACUAACAUGUAACUGACGCUGAGGGACGAAAGCGUGGGGAGCGAACAGGAUUAGAUACCCUGGUAGUCCACGCCGUAAACGAUCAUCACUCGCUGUUGGCGAUAUACUGUCAGCGGCCAAGCGAAAGUAUUAAGUGAUGCACCUGGGGAGUACGCCGGCAACGGUGAAACUCAAAGGAAUUGACGGGGGCCCGCACAAGCGGUGGAGCAUGUGGUUUAAUUCGAUGAUACGCGAGGAACCUUACCAGGGCUUAAAUGUAGUAUGACCGGCUUGGAAACAGGCCUUCUCUUCGGAGCAGAUUACAAGGUGCUGCAUGGUUGUCGUCAGCUCGUGCCGUGAGGUGUUAGGUUAAGUCCUGCAACGAGCGCAACCCCUAUUCUUAGUUGCCAGCGGUUCGGCCGGGG